rnacentral:lncRNA from 1 species
AUCCUGGAAGCGCGAAUCUGGUACCGGGACUUGGGGAGCGAGGGAUGCAACAUGGUGCAUCUGGGAGGCCUGCUAACUGGCUAACUUCUCCGGCGUUCCUCCCGGCCGAGGCGUGGGCACAGAAUAGCGCAGGUGAGGCCCAGAUAUGGUGUCUCGAUACGGCGCGGAAGUUUGAAGACAUCAUUUUCCAGUUUUGGAGCCGACUAAUGAACUAGUUCUUAAGUGAAAGGCAUUUAACACGACUGUGCAUCUACAGGUACUAGGUUUCCAAGAUGCCUUUCCAGACUAAAACCCACACAUGUGAGCCGCUGGCCGGACAAACAUCUGGCACCUAACGUGGGGCUGAAAAACAGCAGAGGACAUUUGGAAGAAACACUGCUGGUUUGGAGCUCCAUAGAAGAAGAAAAUAAUUAAAGGAAAUUCAUACCAGAGAAGGAAGCUGCAGCUCCUCUCCUCUGGAUCUUUAUGACCACACCAGGAAGCAUUGUGAUCUGCAGUCACUGCCAACCUGCAGGAUAACACAGCUUGUUCCUCUGGGAACUGCCCUGCAGUGUCUGCAUACAGCCACCCUCGACCUGUCUGCCUGGUCUUUGCAACCUCUAGUGGCUGUUGUUCCACAAUGUGUUGUGAAGAGACCUGAAUGGUUUGCACCAAAACACAAACACAAACCAUUGGGAGAGUGAUUGGUGAAGUGAUGGACAUUUACUCGGGCAAAGGCAUGCAUGUAAAAUAGUCCCUAUCUGGAUGGACCUACGCCUGUGGCAGGAAGUUCACUGGUCAAUUACCUGCUGACUGAAGUGGCCUAUUUUCUUCUGACCCCCUGCUUCUCUCUUCCCCUCUCCGCCCUGAAAGCUGUUUGGGCAUAGGGAGGUCUUGACCUGAGGAAACCAUCUUGGGUAACCAAGGCAAGGAAAGGGAAUAUGCAACACCUAGGAGAUUUCAGCAAACAGUAGAAUCAUGCCAACGUAAUCUGUGUUAAAAUGCUUGGAAUGUGGGAGCCGCCGGUGAUGUCUGUUGUCUGUGUGUCUCCAGUAAUCCUUUCUUUUUUAAGUGCAGCAAAGCCAAGCCUGGAAACCAGGCCAAGCGCCUGCCACUUACCUUAAAUUUAUCAGCCACUUUGAGAUUAAAACCCCUGAAAGCUGCUGCACAGUGAAAGCAAGGCCUCCUUCACAUUAAAGGCAAAUCGCAACUCUGGGUUUGCUGUGA